UGAGGACACCCUGAGCAGAGAGCUCCAAUAGACCCAGGUCCAGUGUCUUGGCAGGGUGAACUGGCACUGAUAUGGUGUCCUGCAGGAUGCUGUGUCCUGCAAUCCUGUGUGCUGUGCUACAGACGCGUGUGGAGGUCAACCCAAAAUGGGCACAGUCUCACCACAGAAGAGUGAAAGAGGCUCCCAGAAGUGAGACUGAGUGCCUGUUGCAGUAUGACGAGGACGCAGUGACCAGAGACCUUCAGUAGACCCUGGCUGAAGAACAUGAAAUCAACUGCAAUGUUUAUAAUGUUGUACAUACCUGUAUAGUCUGUAUUAAAAGGCAGUACCUGUA